CCAGACUCCUACGGGAGGCAGCAGUGGGGAAUAUUGCACAAUGGGGGAAACCCUGAUGCAGCGACGCCGCGUGAGUGAAGAAGUAAUUCGUUAUGUAAAGCUCUAUCAGCAGGGAAGAAAUGACGGUACCUGACUAAGAAGCCCCGGCUAACUACGUGCCAGCAGCCGCGGUAAUACGUAGGGGGCAAGCGUUAUCCGGAUUUACUGGGUGUAAAGGGAGCGUAGACGGCAGUGCAAGUCUGAAGUGAAAGGCGGGGGCCCAACCCCCGGACUGCUUUGGAAACUGCGCUGCUGGAGUGCAGGAGAGGCAAGUGGAAUUCCUAGUGUAGCGGUGAAAUGCGUAGAUAUUAGGAGGAACACCAGUGGCGAAGGCGGCCUGCUGGGCUUUAACUGACGCUGAGGCUCGAAAGCGUGGGGAGCAAACAGGAUUAGAUACCCUGGUAG
rnacentral:rRNA from 1 species